AAAAGAGUUCAGUUUAAGGUUUAAAACCCUAAUGCUGACUGAAAGUAAAAGUUCAGUUUAGGGCUUAAAACCCUAAUGCUGACUGAAAGGAAAAGAGUUCAGUUUAGGGUUUAAAACCCUAAUGUUGACUGAAAGGAAAAGAGUUCAGUUUAGGGUUUAAAACCCCAAUGCUGACUGAAGGAAAAGUUCAGUUUAGGGUUUAAAACCCUAAUGCUGACUGAAAGGAAAAAGUUCAGUUUAGGGUUUAAAAUCCUAAUGCUGACUGAAAGGAAAAGAGUUCAGUUUAGGGUUUAAAACCCUAAUGCUGACUGAAAGGAAAAGUUCAGUUUAGGGUUUAAAACCCUAAUGCUGACUAAAGGAAAAGCUCAGUUUAGGGUUUAAAACCCUAAAUGCUGACUAAAUGGAAAAGUUCAGUUUAGGGUUUAAAAUCCUAAUCCUAAUUAAGGAAAAAGUUCAGUUUAGGGUUUAAAACCCUAAUGCUGACUAAAUGAAAAGGUUCAAUUUAGGGUUUAAAACCCUAAUGCUGACUAAAUGGAAAAGUUCAGUUUAGGGUUUAAAACCCUAAUGCUGACUAAAGGAAAAGUUCAGUUUAGGGUUUAAAACCCUAAUGCUGACUAAAGGAAAGAGUUUAGUUUAGGGUUUAAAACCCUAAUGCUGACUAAAGGAAAGAGUUCAGUUUAGGGUUUAAAACCCUAAUGCUGAUUGAAUGGAAAAGUUCAGUUUAAAGUUUAAAAACCCUAAUGCCGACUAAAGGAAAAGUUCAGUUUAGGGUUUAAAACCCUAAUGCUGACUAAAUGGAAAGAGUUCAGUUUAGGGUUUAAAACCCUAACGCUGACUGGCUGGGGACAAAGUUCGAGGAUACCAACUGACCUCUUUUUUUUGAAUUUUCUUGUUUUAGUAGAAGAUA
rnacentral:lncRNA from 1 species